rnacentral:snoRNA from 10 species
UAGACCAAUAAUAGUGUGUCAAGAACCAACGAUUAUCAUUAAUCCAUUUUUUUAUAUCUGAAGUCCAUU